GCACGCCCACACGAGGCAACAGUGUUUAACAGAAAACAUUUCAACUAAUUAUCUUCGCAGUUAUGCCAUACCAAUUAACUGCAGAGUCCACUAACACUAACACUAAAUAUGAAACAUUUCAUAUAUCACUUCGAUCAAAUUAACAUUAACGCUUAUUGAUUUAUCCGCAGUUGAGACAAAUAAGUAUCGGAGAACCUCAGCAUGUGAAACAAGCUAAGUUAUGAAUAUUUAAGUCGUCCCUUACGGACUCACCACCACGACCACGACCACGAAAAGAUAUAAUUCCAACAACGCCAAUCCAAGGGAAAAGGCCAUUCCUUUGGUUCGUCGUAGCUGAAAAACACAGAAGGCUGCGUAUGUACACACAAAUUUGGUGUCUAACUAGCGGGUAAGGCAAAUUUCCAAAGACUCACAAUUGAACCCACCACUUGGAAGAAAUCGUCGACGACUGUGAAUAAUUUAGAGGAGGAAAGCAAUGUGCCCUGAUUGGUAGAAAAGUGUGACGAAAGAGGUUAAUCAUAUAUCAAAAAGUCUAUAAAUUAUGGUGGGUGUUACAAUGCGCAUGCGCUAAAUCUUGAAUGAAGUUGUAGAGACCUCUUUUUUGAACGGCACACAAAAUCCUACUUUCUAAAGAAACUGUGGUGCUGCGUCGGUGGGAGAGUGAAACAUGAAAAUUUGGUUUUAUCAAACGAGUUGAUAACGGUCGAAUUACCACCGUCAAAGAUUUGGAGAGCUGACGUUUCGAGCGGUUGCCCUUCGUCAGAUGGUUUUACCUUUACUUUGAUCUUGAUGAGGAUCAAGAAAAAAAAUGAAAAGUUCAACAACAGAGAGUGAAAAUGACAUGUAUUGCAGGAAAGAAGAAUCAGGAUUUGAUUGAUUUAGACUCAUCAGCUGGAACACCAAAGAGACAGGGUGAACCUUCAGCGCCUGUAUCUACUGACUGAUGCAUCAGAAUCACUGCCAAUAUUGCAACCUUAUAUACAAGCGAAAAGCAAAACUCCAACCUGUUCCAUAUGUCCAAAAUUCACUGUAUUCAAGGAAAUUCAAAAGGUUGGAAGAGAAAACACAGCUGAAAGAAGAAAUACCUGUUGUGAUGAAAGCAAAAGUGAUAUGCUGCCUUGAUCUUCUCUUACAACUCUUUGCUUAAAAGUAUGGUCAGCCAGGGUUUCAGUUGCGAACCUAAGUUGAUCAAACUGUUUGUGGUACCAGUGUUGUCAUAAAGUGGAAGUGUGCAGUGGUUCAUAACGGACAUUUCUUUGAUCGACACCAAGUAAACUGGGUCUUGGCAAAUGAUCUUGAGGCCUGUGUGACUGUUAUCCUCUCAAGAAAUAACUUUGCCCAGUUUGAAAGGCUUAAUCUAGGUUUAACUGUUGUGUCAAGGUCUGCAUUUUCACAUGCACAAAGAGUGUACCAUAUCCCAGCAAAUGGGUGGUAAGCAUGGCCGAAGACAACAAUCAACUAGGAAUUACAGGCCUGGACCAAAAUGUUGUUAUUAUGAGUGAGGGCCAGACAUGUGACUCUCCUUGGAUUACAGUCAAGAGUCCUAACAGAAAUGAGAACUUGUUAUAUUAUUGAUUUGGAGGUUCUUAACAAGAGGAAGUUGCCUUAAAACCUUUGAAUAUGGGAAAAAACAGCUCUUCAAAAUGUUCUUCAAAGAAUUAACAAUGUUUUGUUGUUGAAGUUGUGACCAAAUAAUGCAUCUGCCAGCAUUAAGAAGUUGAUGGCUGAGUUGUGUUACCUGACUUUUUGUUUUGUUUUUGUUAUUUAAGUAUCACCACUGUUGUUUCUUCUGUUACCAAAGAUAUCUUUCAUUCAAUAAGGCAAAAGAGUUCUUGGGUUGGUCUAAAAUAUUAAGAGUUGAGGAUAAAAGGAAAUAGAUUAUGUGGCAAGUGAUGGUGAAAAAGCAUUCAUUUUUUCAACAAGGCUGGCAGUGCAAAGGACAUGCUGAAAAUAAGACAAUGGUCACAUCUUCAAUAAUAACUUCAGCUAUUGCUGGAAAUCAGCCUCCAAGGAAACCAUCAGUGAUGAUCUGGCUUUGAGUGCAAUGAAGGUGGAGGACAGUAGUUUGUAGAGUUGUCGUAUUCACUGGCAAAGUUAGAUAUGGUUUUAGAAUAAUAAUUAUUAUUAUUGCUCCUCCUCAGGUUUGAUUUCGCUGGUUGCUUUUCUGGUCUUCCUUACUUCAAAAGCAACUUAAGGGAUGAGUGGAAAAAGAGACAAUAACAUAAUGACCUUCGAGGCCCGCUGAUGUUUUUAGUUUUCUAGUCAUUUCAAGGAUCCUGUGCUCCAAUAAUUAUUAAUGCAAAGGUUUAAGGCAAUGUUUUACAAGAAUUAUUAUUGCAAAAAAAUUUGAAAUUGUUACAUGGUACAAGGAAAGUUCUUUAACAAAACGUAGAUCAAGGUGUUACAAAUAAACGUUUGUCUUUCACACCUUGUAGGACAAAUAGAUUGGCCAUUUGCAAGAUGUCUGUAAUGACCAUGACUGGCAUGGGGGAAGCUGUGAUCAUGAUAUUUACCUGAAGACCACUCUUUUUGAUGACUUGAUAGGAGGUCAAAAGAUUUUGAAGUUCUUGAAGAAAUCAUUCUUGGCCCAACUUCACUGGAAAGCUUCAAGUGUUACAUUAAAUUCAGGAUAUUUUUAAGCUCAAGCUGUAUAUUAUCUUCCCUUAGUGAAAGUAAUAAUUAUUAUUAAUUCUUUCAUGCCUGAUUGUUUGCAAGUUUUGUGAAGUCAUGCUUCUCAGAGCCCGAUUUUGUUCUAAGGGCUGUAAAUUUUAAUUUUGGAUUAAAGAACAAACAAGUCAUUUUUGCUGACACAACGUACCCCAAGCAUGUAAUUUAAACUUGACAUAAAGUGAACAUUUGGUUGAGAACUCAAGGAACAAAAUGUCAUGAAAGUCUUCUUGAGUUUUGUGAGUAACUGGUCUCAAAAGUUUAUGCUAGUCCUGGAUUAAUUUAAUCCAGCUCUGGAUAACCAGACCUAGGUGUUUCUUACAAUUUUCUUAGUACAAUGAGAUAGCUUACCCAUUCGUUCAAUACAUCAAAUGAGGGCAAAAAAUUUCAUUUAAAAGAAUAAUAAUUAUAAAGGCUGUUGAAAAUAUCAAUUUUGAGUGAUUUGGCUACACUCUGAAGUUUUUGGGUUGCCUGUGCUCCUCCAGCUUUUGUAGACAAUAAACUUCUUUCAGUUCAUAAGAUCGUUGCUAGACACAAGAGUUUGUUUUCCCAGACAAGCGGCCCAUAUUUUCAUAACCGGUUAGUUAAAUCCUCUCAUCUAGGUCUGAUUUGAGGAAAUUUCAUUCCAGAGAAUUUCAUAACUGUUUGAUCUCUGGUUUCCCUGUUGUAAAUUUUUGUUGUUGUUUCACUGAUUCUCUGGUUUAGCUUUAACUUUUUUUAAUGUUAUUUUUGAUGUUGUGAACUUGGUCCCAAAGUUGUUAUUUGAAUUGUCUUUUGCUAGACAUGGAUUGUCUGGGAGAAAUAGGUAAUUUAAUGUCAUUUUAUUCUAUAUUAUCUUAGUUUUAAAUUAAUCAACUGAAAAAAGUAGCAGGAAUUUCAAAAUCGGCUUACCAUGAAUAUGAAUCUUUCCAUCUGUUUGGUCAUAUUGCUGAUCACCUCACCUGUUACAGAUUGCAAUGGUGCUGUUUUGGAGUGGUUCAGACCAAUAUAUAUAUUUUUUU